rnacentral:rRNA from 1 species
GCAAAACGCGAAGAACCUUACCCGGGCUUGAAAGUUACUGAAUGAUUUAGAGAUAGAUCAGUCCUUCGGACAGGAAACUAGGUGCUGCAUGGCUGUCGUCAGCUCGUGCCGUGAGGUGUUGGGUUAAGUCCCGCAACGAGCGCAACCCUACUGUUUAGUUGCCAGCAUUUUAGGUUGGGGACGUCUAAACAGACUGCCAGCGUAAGCUGUGAGGAAGGUGGGGACGGACGUCAAGUCAUCAUGGCCCUUACGUCCGGGGCUACACACGUGCUACAAUGGAUGGUACAGCGGGCAGCUACACAGUAAUGUGAUGCUAAUCUCGAAAAGCCAUUCACAGUUCGGAUUGAGGUCUGCAACUCGACCUCAUGAAGUUGGAUUCGCUAGUAAUCGCGUAUCAGCAAUGACGCGGUGAAUACGUUCCCGGGUCUUGUACACACCG